CAGCUGGAGCUGCCUGAAGGCUGUGGCUACGGGUCCCCUCUGCCCCACCCGGGCCCACAGACAUGAGAGCAGACAUUCCAGAGACUGUAUUUGAGAGUCUUUAUAAAGUGUGGGAGAUUAAAAAAAAAUCAGUUGAUAAAAAUGCACUUUUUGGGGGUGGGGAGGGAGAAGCUUUAAAAGUAAUAAUAAUAAAAAAACAAAAAGACAAAAGAUGAUGAAAAACUAGACAAAAAAAUCAUUUUUCUUGUACAUAAAAAAAAACCACUAAACGCAGCCUGUUAUGAC
ensembl:lncRNA